rnacentral:pre_miRNA from 1 species
UUAUGAUGAUGAUGAUGAUGAUAGUGAUGAUGAUGAUGAUGAUGAUGAUGAUGAUCAUCAUCAUCAUCAUCAACGUCAAAAUCCUUAUCAAUAACA